ensembl:lncRNA
GUGUGCCUGGGCACCGCACACGCAACUGCCUGGUCAAUUUCAGUUCGGCUAGGCAGCUUUGCUGACCUUGGCUGGACCCUCAUGUGUCUGGGCCUGGCUGGGGCAGCUGAGUUGAUUGGACUGUGCUCGUCUUCCCUCAGGCCAGCCCAGCAAUAUUUUUUAUCAAAGGACCCACGUAGCUGAAUCCACAUCCUCUGUCCUGUGAGCUGGGCCCCAGGAAUGGUCACACCGUCCUUCCCCUGGAACUCUUGAUCACAUACAAACAAGGAGCCUGAGCUGUCUUGCUUCGUGGCCAUUCUGGGAAGGAUUGCUGAGCAGCCAAUGGGGUGAGUUCACCCACAGCAACACUCCAGAGGGCUUUUCCCUGAGACUAAACUGGUCCAAUCUGGAAUAUCCAGGCAAGAGUUCGGGUAGAGGCGAUUUUGGUAGUUGGGCUCCGUCUACCAUCCAACUCUCCUUGCCAGAGUGAGAGGAGGUGGGGCUUGGACGGACCAGAUGAAGGAGAGACCCUCCUCCUUAACAGGACAGCCCACCCCAGACUCCCAGGGAGCGCUUAACCUAGUGCAGCCACGGAAGGACGCGUCAGUGCUCACAAUUAGGCGUCCGAUUUUGUAAAGUCUCGUAAAGCCCCAGGAUGACGACUCUAGGACUUAGGUUAGUUCCAUGUAAUGAGACUUCAAACUCAGACCAGUGAAACGUUCUAUCAUUAGAGAAAGCUGGUGCCCAGCCCCUGCCAAGAAGGGAAGGGAAGGGGUUUUGAGACAUUGCCUCCAACUUGACAAUGGCAGCUCCCUGACCUGGAGAGACAGAACUGCCCAAGAAGAGGCGGGAAGGCGAUGGCCUUUCCCCUCUGCAGUCAGGACCGGGAGACACCAGGCAAAUAGAAAAUUUCACACCCAACGCGAGUUCCUUCGUUAUAUAAACCAGUAUCGAUUCAUCACUUACUGCCUCUCCAGUUCCAAAGAUGGAUUGUGUAGAUAUGUAAAAUAAGUGUAACAAAUAAAGGAAAUACAUUUAAUAUGUACAAGAAUUGGCCAAUUUUGCAAUAUUUCACCUCAAUUUUAUAUGCUGUCAAAUACACUUGAGAUACAUGUGCGCUAAGCACGACAAGUAUACAGAAACUAAGUUCUAU